CAUGCUGCCUCCAUCCCUGGUGCCCUCUCUGUAUCUCUGUGCCUUUGUGCACACUGCUUCCUCUGCCUGGAAGCCCUUCUUCCUUUCUCCACACAACACAUCCCUCCUUACUCAUUAAAGUCCCGUACAAAUGCUAAAGGCAGCUGAUCUUGUCAGCAAACUUGGCCACCAAAUAGAAAAUCUCCUUCUAUGCCCACUAGUCAUGGACAAAACUCAAAAGUUGCAUGGGAACUUCAGUUAUCGGGCAAUGUUACCAGGGUUUGGGGCAGAAGGAACAGAUAAAAGGGACAAUUCUAAGGAAGAUGAUUGAAAGACUGACCCCAAUGUGGAGAGGAUGAUUCCAGCACUACUCGUACUGCACUAGGAUCAGACAACUUGAAAUCUGCCUUUGCUUUUAUUGGGCAAUCUGUUCCAGGGAUCACAGCCCCUACCUGUAACUGUCACCUCUUUUGAGGUACAAUUACAUUCUUUCCUCUCAUCCCAUUGCAAUGUUUCCAUGCUGAGAGGGCUCCAGAGAGAUGUAGGGAAGCUCUGCUAGUCUCUGUGCUGAAGCUCAGUGCCUGGCAUACCUCUGCCUUUGAUGAGGCUCUGGCACAGCCCUGCAUCAUUCUUCAUUUGCCUGCGCAUUAAAGAAUGCCCCUGGUGGUCAUCAGAGCGCCUUGUGUCAGAGGCUUUGUCUACACCUCUCUGUGCCUAGGUUGCAAGCACAGCUUUGGAUUUUUUUUAUCCUCCUCUCAUGUACUGAUGUUCAAUUUGGAUGGUUUUAAGAUGCAUUAACAUUGGGACAUCUAUGAUUUCAAGCCGUCAUUUGGACCUGGUAAGGGCAGUAAUAAUGAAGACAAAACUUUUGUUACUGGGAUUUAGAAGAAGGCUUUCCUGCAAGCACCAAAUGGCUAUGCAAGAAUGCAAAUUGCAAGAGGGCAGAUAAAUGGUUCAUUCUGUUUCUAUUCACCGUUUCAUCGCAGGAAUGGAAGCAUAAUAGGCUCUCAGAACAUUUUUGUUCAGUGUUCAAUUGAUGAACAUAGGAGAGAGCUCAGGCUAACUUGGAAGUCAUUUAUGUGUAAGCACAGGGCAACUGGUUGUUACAGAAAAGAGAACAUUCAAGAAAUCAUGGAGGUGGAAUACAGGAACCUGGGCACCACAUACGCAGAUUACGUGUUGCUCCGGGUUCUUUUGCCUUGACUUCAUAUCUGCCCCCUCAGUCUCUCCAGGAUACAAUGUGGAAAACAUGGCCACUGACAGUGCACCUCUUCCAGACACGACACCCAGAGUUAGGCAGCAGAGCCUGGCAUACUUCAAGAUUCACCCAGAGGUGUGCUGAUCUCUUGAAAGCCUCCCUCUUCUCAUGAUACCACAGGUAGGGGACUGGGUCAGUGGUAAAUUAUAGAAUGAGUAUCCACCUGAGACUCUCAGCUAACUGUCUCCUCUACUUUAAGGAUUUUCCUCCCUUUGACAAGCCCUGCACUUGGAUUUCUCCCGAGUGAAAUACUUGGUGAGGGUUUCACUGACAGGCUUCUUCCCAGGCCCCAGGAUGAUCUUAAGAUUCCUGGAAAUAAACUAAGAAGUAAAUUUAAGGCAGCAUCUUGCACUUUCAUCUAAUUCCUUACCGAAAAUGUGUGAACCUGAAGGCAACUCAAAAUUCUGAGUGAAUUUCCAGACUUUUCUUGGAAGUGACAAGAAAGCAACCACAGGCACCACCCAGUCAGCAUACAGACAUUUGCAGCUUUCUCCCUUCAUUUGCAUUGUUUUCUUUAACACUUUUCCGCCCUCAUUUUUCAUUUGACAUUCUCUUGUUUUGUAUUUUUCCCCUUUCUCAUUUUAUUCUCUUUGUCCUUUUUAAAAUUCAUCUGCCUCUUUUCUGUCACAUCUUCAUUCCCCCUUCUUAUUCCUUUCUUUCUUCUCCUCCUCCCUCCUUAUUCUCUCUCUGUCCUUUUCCCUUGAUGAGAGACACUAAAUGUGAAGUCGAUUUGUCCCUGGACGUAGCUGUUGCUUGGGAGGAGACACACCCCAGGCUCUGAAGACUCUCUACUUCAACACUGAAGGACCUCGGCCUCAGCACUGACAUGAGUUACGUAUGACGGUGGCCCCUGAAGGAGCACUUAACAGGUUACAUUAGUGAGUGCUCUAGAUCCCUUCUACACAGCUGUGCUUGAAGGUCCAGAACUGAUUGCCAGUGUGUCUUUGGGGCAUGCAUUUUCUACUGCCUGUUCCAUUCCAAAGAGCCGGCUUCCUGAGUCAGGUAUAAGGCCCGACUGCUUAAUAUUUGAUGAUAUGAUUUUCCCACUGCUCAGAUGAAUACAAUAUUGUAUAAGGCCAAUGCAAUGCUGAAGUUUUCACUCCACGAUUUCAGCAAAGUACAAAGAAGCAAGCAGAGAAGGGAGCCCAUAAACUCAUAAACAUCUGUGGGAAACAGCAAAGAGAUUCAUUUGGAAAAUCAAAAAAGAAACUAUAAAAAGAUGUUUACAUUAUCCUGAGGAGAAAAGCUAUAUUCACAGACUUUAUUAUUAAGUUUUAAAGAUAAUUCAUAAUAUAUUUCUCUCUGGUGCUGCAGUAAAAUUUUAUGUUCAGGACUUCGGAUAUAUGCCUUGUGUUUUAGGUCAUGGCCAUGGUAAGUGUCAUAUUG
rnacentral:lncRNA from 1 species